AGUGAACGCUGGCGGCAGGCUUAACACAUGCAAGUCGAACGGCAGCACAGGCUGCGCCCGCGCUUCCGGGGGGCGACUGGCGGGUGAGUGAGCAGUACGUGCCGAUCUACUUUGGCGAGGCGGGCGACAACGGGAUAAAUACGCGAGAACAGCAGAGGAUGUAAGCGGGAGAGCGGGAGCGCUUCCGCUAUUGUAGGGGGCGAUGUCGGAUUGGCGAGUUGGCGGGGUAAAGGGUUACCGAGCCAACGAUCCGUAGCUGGUCUGAGAGGAUGACCAGCCACACUGGGACUGAGACACGGCCCAGACUCCUACGGGAGGCCGCAGUGGGGACUUUUGGACAAUGGGGGCAAGCCUGAUCCAGCAAUACCGCGUGGGUGAAGAAGGCCUUCGGGUUGUAAAGCGCUUUUGUUCGGAAAGAAAUACAGCGGGUUAAUACCCCGCGGGAAUGACGGUACCGGAAGAAUAAGCACCGGCUAACUACGUG
rnacentral:rRNA from 1 species